rnacentral:lncRNA from 1 species
UCUGCUGCGGUCACCCUUUUCUCUGUGGCCAUUCAGCACGCUUCACUCUUAAAAGAGGCAAUGUUGAGCCUCUUGUAAGAAUUUUGACUUUCGUUCUGAGUAAAAUGGGAAGUUAUUGCAGGACUUUGAACAGAUGAAUGAUAGCAGCUGUCUUACAUUUAUGAAGCUCACUCUGGCUGCUGUUUUGAGAAUGGACUAUGGAGUUUAAGUUAGAGGAAGAGAGAUAGGGAGGAGGUUAUUGGGUUAGGCCAGGUGAGAAAGGAUGGUGGUUCAGAACAGGGCAGUAACCAAGGAAGUGGUGGGUGGUCAGAUACUGCAUAUAUUUGAAGGGAGAACCCAACAGGAACUCUUGACAGACUGGAUGUGAGAUGUGGCAGAGAGAGAAGAUUCAUAGCUAACUCUAAGACUUUUGACCUGAGCAGAUGAAAGGAUGCAGUUACCAUGAAGGCUGCAGAUGAGAAGAGCUGAACCUAGAUGAGCUAUCAAUCAAAAAAUGCUUGCACGACCUUCUACAAAAUAACCUGCCUAUACUUUUCAAAACAUCAUGGACAUGAAAGACGAAGAAAGACUGAAGGACUGCUCUAGAUUAAGGAUACCUAAAGAGACAUGAUGACUACAUGCAAUGUGUGAUCCCCAAUAGGAUACUGGUCCACAGGGAAUUUUUUUUCCUUUUGCCAUAAAAUACAUUAUUAG